rnacentral:rRNA from 1 species
AACUUGCCUCAAGAUGAGAACUCACUGGGAACUUGAUUCCCCUGAAGGGCCGUCGAAGACUACGACGUUGAUAGGCUGGGUGUGUAAGCGUUGUGAGGCGUUGAGCUAACCAGUACUAAUUGCCCGUGAGGCUUGACCAUAUAACACCCAAACA